ACACACACACACACACACACUCACUCAUUCUGUAUUUUGUCAAUUCUUGCAUCACAUCCAUCUCAACCUCAUGUCAACCAUGCCAAUCCUGCUGCACAUAUUUUUCCCAGCACUUGCUCCCAUGAUUCAUAGAAAGUUGAUUAAAAAUCCUGCAAGACUUCCCCUUCAACUUAUAUGAUGUUUUGCAAUCACAUUAGGACUAAAUAUUGCACUUCUCUACUUCACUCAUCCUGCUUUAAUUCUAUAGUUGAAAUCCUCCUUUCACCCAUCAUUGUGUAUAAUAGACCUAGGUAUCUGAAGUGUGAGCUUAGUGGAACCUCUACACCAUCUAGGAUAAUCCCAUUUUGACCAAUUCCCCUGCCAUAGCUAAAAUCAAAGCUCAUUCUUUAUUCUGACUCUGCCUAGGUAUGAGUGUAGCAUUUGUUAGAACAUAAAUAGCCAAUCCCAAGCUUGGAUAAAGGAUGAGGAUCGCGAUAGGUUAUAGACAGUAUAAAACCAAGUCAUUUUCUCAUGAUAUAGAUCCAACUCUAUCAUAGUACAUCUUCAUAAGACAGAAGUAAGGAAUUUCAAAACAAGUUUUAAGCCAUUUGCUAUAAUUUAUUUAUAAAGACUAUAGACAGCUCUCAUUCUAACUUAUAUAGGUGAGUAUUUAAGCAGCCAAGAAAAAGGUAUUCUAAAGACCACAUCUAAACAGCAUUACAUGUAUAGACAUAAUCAUUACAUUUUUUAAAAGAUAAAGGUGGCAAUUGAGACAAUGUAAAUAAUCACAAUGAAGUCACUACAAGAAAUCAAAACACAUUCAUGUUGUGAGUGCUU
rnacentral:misc_RNA from 1 species